rnacentral:rRNA from 1 species
UACGAAGGGGGCUAGCGUUGCUCGGAAUCACUGGGCGUAAAGCGCACGUAGGCGGACUCUUAAGUCGGUGGUGAAAUCCUGGAGCUCAACUCCAGAACUGCCUUCGAUACUGAGAGUCUUGAGUCCGGGAGAGGUGAGUGGAACUGCGAGUGUAGAGGUGAAAUUCGUAGAUAUUCGCAAGAACACCAGUGGCGAAGGCGGCUGACUGGACACAUAUUGACGCUGAGGCUCGAAAGCAUGGGGAGCAAACAGG